AGUAAGGUGGCCGAGUAUAGGCGGUAAAUUGUAAAUUUACUUACGAGUUUGACUCUCUUGCUA
rnacentral:tRNA from 1 species